AUUUGUAUUCAGACCAAACUCGAUCCCUUUACGAUCCUUUUUCGAUCAAAUCGAUCGCUACUCGGCGAAACUCCGAUCUCUUCUCGAGUGACUGGCUUCUCGAUGCUUACUCGAAUGUUUUUGAAACGUCAAAAACUCUCUGAAAGAAAGUCAGAUCGAUGACGAGUAAGGUAGACCACCCCGAACAUUCUUGUCGAACUAGCCAGACCAGUCUCCCGAUCACUUAAUCUGUCUUGAUCGGAAUUGAUAUAGUUGGUCUGAUCGGCAGUGUCAACC
rnacentral:lncRNA from 1 species